rnacentral:piRNA from 1 species
UGAACUCCUGUUCUACACUUCCC